rnacentral:lncRNA from 10 species
UGAGAGAACACAAUCCAACUCACAACAGGGUCCCUGAUUCUCCUUUUGCUGUUAUCUACACAAGACCUGAGGACACUCAGAAGACCCGGCACCUUCCACCCCACUCCUCACCCACCCAAACCUACAAUCUGGCUUGGGAAUGUCAUGGGGGAAACCCCAGCAUGGGGUUUGCCAGAGGUCCUUACCAGAGGAGGUCCGGAUAAAUUCCUAGAAUCGAAUUGGAUUCAGAAUGGGAGACAUCCACAUACCAAGCACCAGAAGCCACAACCUCUGAAGGAAGCAUGGACUAGUUGAAAAAUAUGAGACAGCCACGGAGGCAUCCAGCAACCUACACAGCUUCACCGUUUGCUUGGAUCUGAAACAGAAUGGCAGACGUUGGUUUGGAGAUUGGGAAGCAGAGAAUUAGAGGAGGAAGUCAGAGUUAAAGUCUUUGAAUAUUUCACUGGGGGUGGGUAGGAUUCUCCAGUCAAGAUAAGAAAAUUGUUAGAACAAAGAUAAUUUAAAAAAAAAAAAGAUUAGAAAAAGAAAAAGAAACCUGCCAGAAAAAUUAAGUUUCUCUUAAUUUCUGACAAUUCUAGUGGUUUUGGACAGGGUUUUGGAGACGGAGUUCUGUACACAUCAGAAAAAGGGGGAGCUUGGCCAACAACUGUUACGAUGAAUGGGCUCCAUGAUAUUCUUACGGAUCAGAAGCAAACAAAACAAUAUGUUUGAUUGGUUUCCAAAUUUUCCACUGUUUAUAAUAUGUAAAGAAUAUGAUUUUACAUAGAUUUUGAAAAACUGUGACUGUUCCUUAGAAUAAAUUCCUAGAAUAUAAUUGCUGAUUCACAUAGCAUGAAUAUCCUAAAAUAAGUAUAAUAGGUAUUGUAUAUUUGCAUUUUAAAGAUUUUCAAAAAUGUAUGCUCCAAUAACAGUACCUGAGGAACUCUAUUUUUUGAUCCUCUACUCAAAUCAUUUAUACCCAUCAUUUCUGAAAUUUUCUUAAUUUAAACUUCUUAGAACAGAGGAAAUUUCUUUUUGAUUUGCUUUUUGUUUAUUGGCACUUCCAAUUUUAAG